rnacentral:rRNA from 1 species
AGAGUUUGAUCAUGGCUCAGGAUAAACGCUGGCGGCGUGCCUAACACAUGCAAGUCGAACGUCCUCGCACUUUUCGGAGCGCGAGGGAGUGGCGGACGGGUGAGUAACACAUGGGUGACCUACCCCCCAGUGAGGAAUACCGGCGGGAAAUCGCCGACAAGACCGCAUAGGCUUUCUUGGGUAGCCCUGAGGAAGCAAAGUCGCAAGACGCUGAGGGAUGGGCCUGUGGCCGAUUAGCUAGUUGGUGGGGUAAAAGCUCACCAAGGCGACGAUCGGUAGCUGGUCUGAGAGGACGAUCAGCCACACUGGGAUUGAGAACGGCCCAGACUCCUACGGGGGGCAGCAGUGAGGAAUUUUCCGCAAUGGUCGCAAGACUGACGGAGCAACGCCGCGUGCAGGAGGACGCUUUUCGGAGUGUAAACUGCUUUUCUGUGGGAAGAGCAAGGACGGUACCACAGGAAGAAGCCCCGGCUAACUACGUGCCAGCAGCCGCGGUAAUUC